AGUCAAUCACAAUGAUCUGAAAUGGCUUCGACACAAAUAACACAGACCUACAACAACUGGUUUAGUAAGUAUAAGUGUCCUUUGGGCCUAACAAAGCAGCAGCCCUAAACCCACCUGUAGGCCCUUCGGCUCUGGGAAAUAAGGCACUGUGUGUCAGUCAGAGCCCUGCAGGGGAGCGCCAGCUUGUGUGACCUUCCCUCCCCAAUCACAGCGCUGCAGACACCGACGCUGGCCAGAAUGAAGCAGCAUGCAUCGUGCUGCCGAGGAGUUGGAGCACUAAAUCCUCUUUCCUUCAGAGAGGAUAAAACACGCAAGCCACACACACACUUACGGUCCUGCACGAGCAGGACUCUAAGACUCCAGGCCCACAUUAGUCCCUAAACACGCUGGUUUAGUUGUGGACUGGCCACUACAGGCAGUAAACAGUACUGUUUACUGUAGAUCACAUUACAAUGCUGGGUUAAAAUAGGAACGGGAUGCCAUAAGGAGCAUUGGACUAGCUGGGAUUGUACCAGUAUGAAAUGCAUCAGGCUCGCAGUGGCAUGGCAGGACUCAUAUCUACUGCAGCAAAAAGCUACUGAGAUCAGAUAUGCACGGAGUCUGGGCAGGUAAAGCCAAUGCAAGAUUAUGGCAUCCAUAUGAAAGAUCAGCUCCAAGGUGAAGGUGUGUGAACUCACCUGCUCUCCACGACGGCCCCGACGCUGCUGCUGCUCCCGCUGCCCAUGCUGACCGCUGCUCACUGACCGCUGCUCACCUGCUGCGUGUCCUUGUGCCUCUCGCC